rnacentral:SRP_RNA from 1 species
GAUUGGGUCCCUGGCGGCGAGGGCCGCUGAACCGUGUCAGGUCCGGAAGGAAGCAGCACUAAGGCGACUCCCUCGGGUGCCCAGGAAAACCUGGUCUUC